rnacentral:rRNA from 1 species
GACGAACGCUGGCGGCGCGCUUAACACAUGCCAGUCGAACGGAAAGGCCUGCUUUCCCUUGUGGAUUGCGGGUACUCGAGUGGCGAACGGGUGAGUAACACGUGAGUGAUCUGCCCCCAACUUGGGUAUAAGCCUGGGAAACUGGGUCUAAUUCCCGAUAGGACUGCAGGGUGGUGCCUGUGGUGGAAAACGAUUUUCUAGUGGUUGGGGAUGAGCUCGCGGCCUAUCAGCUUGUUGGUGGGGUAAUGGCCUACCAAGGCGGCGACGGGUAGCCGGCCUGGGAGGGUGGACGGCCACAUUGGGACUGCGACACGGCCCAGACGCCUACGGGAAGCAGCAGUGGGGAAUAAUGCACAAUGGGCGGAAGCCUGAUGCAGCGACGCUGCGUGGGGGAUGACGGGCUUCGGGUUGUAACCUCCUUUCGACCGCGAGGAAGCCACCUGGUUGGAAGGGUGGUGACGGUAGUGGUAGAAGAAGCACCGGCUAACUACGUG